CUGGCCACUGGCCGGCUUUAGGACCCGGCGCCCCACGAACUGAAACUUAGAGGCGGGACUAGGAGAGGCCGUCGCGCACACAUGACGUAGGCAGCUGGCGCCAGCAGAGGUGAGGAAGCUAGGAGUAGUGGACAAACUUUUCUGGCCAGCCUUGCUUCUUACGCACCAUGGCGGCUCCCGUCCAGCAGCCUCCUCAGUCUAGCGGUGGAAAGCGCAAAGGGAAAGCUCAGUAUGUGCAGGCCAAGCGGGCGCGGCGCUGCGACGGCGGUGGCCCACGGCAGCUGGAACCCGGGCUACAGGGCAUUCUCAUCACCUGCAACAUGAACGAGCGCAAGUGCGUGGAGGAGGCCUACAGUCUGCUCAACGAAUACGGCGACGACAUGUAUGGGCCGGAGAAGUUUACAGACAAAGAUAAGCAGCCCUCUGGAAGUGAGGGAGAAGAUGAUGAUGUGGAGGCUGCCUUGAAGAAAGAAGUUGGUGACAUUAAAGCAUCUACAGAGAUGAAGCUAAGAAGAUUUCAAUCAGUGGAGAGUGGAGCAAAUAAUGUAGUCUUCAUCAGGACACUUGGGAUAGAACCUGAGAAAUUGGUACAUCAUAUUCUCCAGGAUAUGUAUGAAACCAAGAAGAAAAAGACUCGGGUUAUUCUACGAAUGUUACCCAUUUCAGGCACAUGCAAGGCUUUCUUAGAAGACAUGAAAAAAUAUGCAGAAACAUUUUUGGAACCCUGGUUUAAAGCUCCAAACAAAGGGACAUUUCAGAUUGUAUAUAAAUCUCGAAAUAACAGCCACAUGAAUAGGGAAGAAGUUAUCAAAGAAUUGGCAGGAAUAGUAGGCAGCCUCAAUUCGGAAAAUAAAGUGGAUCUUACCAAUCCGCAGUACACGGUGGUAGUAGAAAUCAUUAAAGCUGUCUGUUGCCUGAGUGUUGUGAAAGAUUACAUGUUGUUCAGAAAGUAUAAUCUCCAGGAGGUGGUGAAGAGUGCUAAGGACCCAUCACAGCUUAACCCAAAGCAGCCAGCCCAAGCAGGAAAUGGGAAAGAAGCUAAAUUGGAAUCUGGUGACAAAUCAGAUCGAAAUGACCCAGCAGAAGGAAAAAAUAACCAGCAAGUGGUGCCAGAAAAUAAUGAGGAGCUGGGGCAGACAAAACCAAGAGCUGAGACACAAGUGGUGAGUGAGGGAGGAGCUGAACCUGAACUGGAAAGUCAAGUCACAGGAGGAUCUGAGUCAAAUGAAAAUGACCUCUCAUAGGGGGAAAAAAAAUCAUUUGAUGUUGCAGUUCAACUGGACAUAGGAUCGGCCUCCACUACCCCAGGGAAAUAGAGGCCACACCUAAAUGCGCAAGGAAAGAAGUUAAUUCUUGGAGUUUGGGCUUUUAAGAACUGAGUCCUGCAGUUUCUCAGGGAGAUUUUUGAAAGACAUAUCAAGAGUUUGGAGCCAAUGCUGAACACAGGUUUCAGAACUGCAAACUUAGUUUAUCUUCUUAGGGCACUUGGCUAACCUGAUGUAGAGAUCCUAGUUCUUAUGUUGCCCAGCAUUUCUGUUAAGACCCUCAAGCCAUCUCGUCAGACCAGUUAGCAAAAUAACAGGGCUAAAGAAACCAGAGCAAUCUGAAACCUCAAUCUUGCUGUCUCUGGCUGAGAAGGAAGGACAUGCCUGGCUUGAAGACAAAGAUUGGGUUCUGAGAAUUAACAAAGUGAGAAGCUCGAGUGAGAGGAGAACGGAAGGAGCGCUCUGGGAGAAAGUGAUGAUUAUUAUGAAACCAAAGCUCAAAUUACUGCUUAUCCCAUACAUCUGUGACCAGUCUGAACAGAUAAAUGGAGAGCAAAGAGCUGCUAAAGGAAAUGAAAGAAAAGAGAAAAUGAAGGAAAAAAGACAGGGCUCUGUGAGUAACUACCAUGAAAGGGUCUGAGGAAGAUCCAGAGAAACACAGCAUAUGGAGUUGAGGAUCAAAGAUCUUCCCUGGGAAUGGAGGAGGGCAAGUGGAAAACAAACAAAGAAGACCAAGAGGGAUGAAGGAACUGAAGAGUGGCAAGUAGACCACAGAACAAGGAAAUGGAAGACUGAGACACAGAUGGAUACCAAGCAUCUAGUGGAAGCCUACUGUGUCAUACCUUUUCUUUUUGGGACCACUGGUCCAGCACAUCCCCAGCAAAGUUAAAGUUUUUAGGCAAUGAUCUCUCACAGCGAUUUAUGGCUUCAAAGUCAGCAAGAGUCAGAGGCACCCAAAGCUGGUGAUCUUUGUGAAGGUAUCGACCAGUUGGCUUGGCAAGCCAGAUGAAUCUGAACAUCUGAUAGCGGGAAAAAAGCAUGAUUUCCAAAGGGCUUUGUCAACUGAUAUGGAUGUGGAAAGUUCUGCAGCCUGUGGGGAGAGAUGGGGGCAGAACGUGAGUCUCUGUGGAUGCUCUGCGGUGAGACUGGGGAGUGGACUUGUGGCUGUGUGUCCCCCAGGGAGUUGGGGAACACCCAGAAAACACCCAUCCUUCUUCAGGGCUGUGACAGUCAGCCAUGGACUUGUCUCCCUCUCACUGACCUCUCCUCUUCAUUCUGUCUGUGAUCAGAUUAUUCUUUUUUUUAAUUUUUUAAUUUUUUUAU